UAAACAACAACAAUAUAGUUAUUCAAAUUUUUUAGUACCAUCUGGUCAUUUAAAAAACAGAAUAUUACAUUGUUUUACACAUGAUGCGUUGGUAAUGUAUUCUAUUUUUACGACAUACAUUUGAGCUUAGUUUUUAGCAAGUUGUAUAGGUUGUUCAGUAGAUACUGUAGUAAAUAGCAGAAUUAUGGCAUAGAACAGAUUUGUUAUGGUCAUGUAUAUCUGAUAUAAUAAGAGUGCGUCAAGAUUCUAUGUUUUCUGUGGGCUUCUUGUUUGGCUGAAAUUGAGUAGGAUUUUGAGAAUGUCUAAUUAUCUGUAUUUAGAUCAAUAAUAGUUGGGUGAAAUGGAUGAUGAAAUGGCUGAUGGCUGAUGGAUGACUGGCGAGUUCUUUUCUGAUAUUGAGGAAUAAGCCAAAGUAUUUUCCGCUGUUGAUUUCAUGCAAACAAUGACAUACAAGGAUUGAAAUGCGAUAUAGUGUUGAGUUCCAUCGACGUUUGACAUUGGCUAUGAACUUGCCCAUGUCGAAUGUGGACGCUUGACGCAUGCCCCUGACGAUGUCGGCUGUGGGCUAUGGGCUAUGGGUGCUGGUUGUGUCAUUGCCGUCGUCAGCUACGGGCACUUGCACUUGCCCAUGUUGCUGCGCCCUUUGAAUCUAUAAUAUUUGAAGGUCAAAUCAUUCAUAUGUGCUUACUUAAGAUUGUA